ACGGGGGUGUUAGCAAUAGUUGGAGGAUUGUUCUAUACGUUCAACGUUAUUUCUGUGUUAUUAGAUAGGAUACGAUGAAAACCUAUCAAUUUGUUCGCGAGGGAUCUGUUAUACUCCUGAACGCCGCUGUUUUCUACAUUGUGUUCUAGCAUUUACUGGAUUACAAAGAGCGCUUUCUACACGAAGUAUGGAAGGUAAACAUUAAUCUAAGUUGGUCUAAUGAAAUAGAAGUUUAAAUGGACUAAAAGAAAAAGGAAAAAGAUACAGGAGUUGUUCUGCACCUGCCGUCGGCACGCCGUGUUGUUUGUGGGUGGACAUGCGGUUGCCUUUUUAUCAUUUCCGGAACCGUGAAUACUGUCGGCGAAUUCUAAACGGAAUCGGCAGACACCCUGAAGUUGACACAACACGGGCCCGGCCAAGCAGACACAACGGAUCGAGGGAGACAAGUUUAUCGAAAUGACAUGAAAAUGUACAAAAGUCGGAUUACGCUUUUUUUCCGGAAUGGAAUUUUGUGUAGUGUUUAUAUACCUUGAACUUGGCAGUCGGGUGUAGUGCUGUAUUUGCAUGCCGACUGGGUUGGAUACGGGUUUCUUAUCUGGAGUAGUGUGUCGGACGGAUGAAGUGUGGAUAUACAAGGCGUUGAGUGGGUUCGUGCUUCUUGGAUCAAGGCUAAUAAAAUCGUGGAAUAAGUUUUAUGUUUCACCUGUGUUUGGAUAUUACGUCAUAGUGGAUUAACAAGCUGGAAUAGCGUGGAUUACCGAAAUGUCUGACGUCAGAAUCACCGAGAACGUCAUUGGCAUAUGAUUGCAGUUCUACGUUAUGACAAAUUCUUUUCGUUUAAAACUAUAUAUUCAUUGGUACUUUAUCAGUCAUGAGUGGCUCUUCGUGGUUAUUAGUGGCGCUCGAGAGGAAGUAGGAAGCCUCGUGUGACGAAUCAAUACUUUGCUUCCAACCCAUAAGUAAAACACCAGUGCUUAGGUAAUUAUGGUUAGAUAUUGCCCACGCCCACAUUUGGCAAUAUGUUGCACGUUUUCGUUUUCGGAAGAAAAAAAACAUACUGGGGCGCCUCCCUGUCCCGAGUCAGACCCCCGAUCCUAUCGGAGGCCGGACUCGGGAUAAGCGUGUUCGAAACCCUAGUGGUAUAUGGACACGUUAAACCAGUUACUAAGCUACUGGGGCGCCAUGUUAUAUUAUUUCGGGGCUGAUGUUAAAAGUU